CCUCCGCGUCUCCGCACUUGCGGAGAGACAGACAGCGCGAGCUCGCGAGCAGGGGAGGGGGCUCGGGAGCCAGGCCGUCCCUCCCUCUGCCUCCCCGGCAGUGGCCGCCGCCAAGUCCUGUCACCGGGAAAAGGACGGGGCGGAAACUUGCCUCUCGCGCCCCCGAGGAAGGGGCAAAGGUGGACGCAGGGUUGUCCGGGGAGCAGCCCCUGGCCGCGGGGUCCGCAGCAUCUCCGUCGGCAGAGUCCUCUGAGAAGGCGGCCCGGGGAGAGGUGAAGAAGAGUAAGGGGACAGGGGACAAAAUGGGUGACUGUGGUAGAGGGAGGGUGACCUAGAGGUGACUGGAACUGAAGAGAGAGUCAACAGAGGACUGCAUGGGAGGGCAAAGGGCAAUGCCAAAAAGAAAACUAGCGACUGGGACGGGCCUGGGCCGCUGAGUUAGAGGCAGUGGGGCCUGGGGGCUGCAGACGGCAGGGACGGUGCCCCAGGACGAAGAUCGGGGAGAGCCGAGUUCCAGGGUCGCCAGCAGAGGACCCUCGCGCCCGUCCGGCCGGACCCUUCGGCCAGCACCCUGCACCCCCUCGGGCGCACCUCACCCUACCCAACUCCCGGUCCUGCCGCUGCUCCCCGGAGGCGCCCCGCAUCCGUCAAGUCCCCUACGGCUCCAACAGGGAGAGGCUUCUCCCAUUGCAGUCCUAGCUCCAGAGGGGAUGGAGAGGCGCGACUGUGGGAGCUGGAAGGGGCACCACCCGGCAAUUGCGGGAUAAAGCAAAUGCUGCACACAGAGUGUGAAACUUAACCUGGUUGAGAAUUUUCGGCACAUCAUGAAAUCAUAAGUUUGUAUUGGAAAGUCCAUUCUCUAGACAUCCGUGAACAAAGUACUGAGGGGACGUAGGAGAUUGGCACUGAAAAUGCGAGAACCCCCAUUUAAGUGUUACUUAGACCAAUCUGUUUUACGCUUUGGAAAAGCAAGUUUUUUUUCCAACUUAUACGGUAAUUAGUUGAAAAAAAAAACUUUUGUUUAAUGGCAGUUAUCAAACUAUGAGAGGAACAUAUUCCCUGAUUUUAAUCUUAUAAUGAGAAAGGUCACUUGCGGUAGACAAUAAGAGUGUUUAUUGAACACUUACUGUGAAUCUGACUGUGCUAGGUGAUGUAUAUAUGCUAUAGGCCUUAAUCCUCAAACCUUCCGAAGUCAUUGCCGCUUUUCACUUCACACAAAAAAUUGAAGCUUAAAGUAAUUUGCCCAGGGUCACAGCCAGUAGUUGGAGAGGAUGUGAGCCCAGUUCUGCUAGCUGGAAUAAUAGAAUUAUGUUCCCAAAGCGUUGAGAGGAAAUGGAGAGUUUGUUUAUGGCCUAUCUUCUGCUAAUACCAGUCUGUAGCUUGUCUACAAUGGGGUAGUAGUCACCUGAGGUUUGUCACAAUUCUGAACUCCCGAUUUGCUUUCCUGUCCUCACCCCCAACUGUGAGUUAUCAGGAGUUGUGAUAAUAAAUAAAUAAAUAAAUAAAAAUUUAAAAAAAAGAUUCUCCUUCUUGCUUGCUAUCCCUCCCAUUUUGGCAGAAGUCCAGAGUCUAUCAGUCCUCUGCAAUCGUAGAUUUCACACUUUUUAAAACUACCCAUGAUACCUCUGCAAACAAAUGACUCCCCCCAUUGCAUUCCCGUAUUACCCAAUAAAACGUCUUACGACGGCUGAAGACUUUUUCUUACAAGAAAUAAACAAAAACGUCUGACAGCAUAGUAGAUGAGUUCCAUGCCCAAGUGCUACUCAAUUGCCUGAGCUUGAAUUGAAUUGUGUGACUUAAACGCGCUCUGGUACAAUCUCUGGGUGCCCUCUGAACUUCAGGCUCUUGCUGUAACAGUAGUCUGUCUUGCACUAGAGUUGUUUAUAUGUUUGUCUUUCUCUUUCACUAGAUUGUAAGUGCAACAGAGCCCAAGACCUAGUCUUGUUCUUGUUUGUACAUGCUAUAGCACCUAACAAGGAAUGUAUGAUGUUUGUUGUUUCAUUGAAUUUGUGAAAUAUAAAUAAUAGUAUCUAUUCCGAUCCUCAUGUCCUCUUCCCCACCUCAUCUUCCAAUCCCUUGCUCAUAAAACAUGUUUAUAAAAAACAUCUUCCAUACUUAGAAAGAACUUUGAUUCCCAUGAGACCUCAGAACAAUUGUUUAUUAAAACUAGCCAUAAUUUUUAGUGAAUCAUCACUAUGAUAAUGUAAAAUGAAAAGGUAGAGGAGGCGGUAAAUAAGUUGGCUCAAUGACACAAAUUAAGAAAGGAAGAAGAAGGAAAGAAAAAAGAAGGCAAAGAUAUAGGAACUAGGUAUAUUACCAAGAGAGAACAACAAGGAAAAAAUAUGUGGGUGCAGAUCAUAAAGGGGAAGGAAAUUAUUGAAAUUUAGUGGAAGUAGAAAUAACAUACCGUGAAUGGAUGAGGCAAGGAAACACCAAAAAUGUCAGCAGAAUCAUAAAUGCAGCAUGGAAAAGUAAAGAAAAUGACAAAUUAUAUAUUUAACAAUAUAACCUAGGAAUAAUCAGAACAAUAUGACUGCUACAAGACAAGAAUUUCUAUUUUUGUCUGCCUUUUCUUCCACAGUUUUCAAAGUACUCACUUUUUUCAUAAGUAAACUGCAUAAAAGUGGGAGAUUCUAUACUAUUUUUGAGUUAAUACUACUAGCAUACAUCAUGAGAUUAGAGGUAACAGUAUGGUAAAAAAGAGCUAUAGAAUAUAAGCAAAUAAAUAUGAUGUGAAGUGGUCUCUGUAAGUUACUGUGUGACCUCAAACAAGUCACUAAAUAUCGCAAUUUCCUCAUCUGUGUAAUUGUUGCAAGACUCAAAAUGGUGUAAAUAAAUGUACUUUGUUAACUAUCAAGCUCUUUAUACAGAUGUAAGGGAAUAUUAUUAUGUCAGCUAAUAUGUAGCACAGUUAUCUCUGUUUUGGUGCAUUCCUAAAUUGCCAAAGCAAAAAUCUAUAGUUCAUUCUAUUAAAAUGUAAUCAUAGGGUGGGGGCGUCAGUUAAAACAUUUGUUUGUCAAUUUGAUUAUUGAACGACUGUGAUGAAAUGUUUCAUUCUUAUUGUUUGCUCUCUUCUAAAUCCCUUAAAUAGUAUAACUACAAUAAACAAAUGUCUAAUAUAAGUCAAGCAUAUUACAUAAAUUUUUUCCUUACUGAAGUAGUCAUUGUAUGUAUAUUAUUCUCAUUUUAUGUACAAUAAAGCUGAGCUUCAGAGACUUCAA
rnacentral:lncRNA from 10 species